UAAUCCUAUAAGCUGUAAAAGUUUCUUUUGUCGGCUUCCCUCUCCCUUGGGUAAGGCCACAGGGAGGGGACUACAUAAGAGCCAAAUUUUGUUUCAAUUGAAGCCUGUGCAGUAUAAAGCACGACUGACCUUUCAUAGGCUGUGUCUGCAAUUUGGGCACAGCUAAGUCUAUCUUCCUCUGCAUCAUCAUCUUUGCAUUGCUCUGGAGUGGGAGAUCAAUAUCAACACAUUGAGAAGGCGUUGCUGAAUUGAUGAAGAAUCAUGUUGAAAUUCUUCAAGAUGAGGUAAUGUCCCUUGCAUCAUUAUCUUAUUUUUCUCCUAGCGUAGAAAUUUUUAUGUAAAAUUGACCUUGUUUGAGAGGAAAGUUUUUCCAAGAGAUGAGUUUCCUAAACCUUCAGUGCCGGCAUUCACGGCGCAGAUAACAUGUAAGACCAUGCCAUGACUCUAUCCAUGUUUGUUAAACAAUAUUUUCAAGCAGCAGAACAUAAACAUAGAGAAGAAUUAUAUUCAUGAACAUCUAAACAUUAGUUGUUAGUCAAAAACAUACUGCCGA
rnacentral:misc_RNA from 1 species